GAUGAACGCUAGCGAUAGGCUUAACACAUGCAAGUCGAGGGGCAGCAUGGUCUUAGCUUGCUAAGACUGAUGGCGACCGGCGCACGGGUGCGUAACGCGUAUGCAACUUGCCUCACAGAGGGGGAUAACCCGUCGAAAGACGGACUAAUACCGCGUACACUCUAUUUUGGGCAUCCAAGGUAGAGGAAAUGAAAUUCGCUGUGAGAUAGGCAUGCGUCCCAUUAGCUAGUUGGUGAGGUAACGGCUCACCAAGGCGACGAUGGGUAGGGGAACUGAGAGGUUGAACCCCCACACUGGUACUGGGACACGGACCAGACUACUACGGGAGGCAGCAGUGAGGAAUAUUGGUCAAUGGGCGAGAGCCUGAACCAGCCAAGUCGCGUGAAGGAUGACUGUCUUAUGGAUUGUAAACUUCUUUUGUAGGGGAAUAAAGAGGGGCACGUGUGCCCCAGUGAAUGUACCCUACGAAUAAGCAUCGGCUAACUCCGUG
rnacentral:rRNA from 1 species